GGGCCUGCAUGUUGCGCUAUGGAAAAAUCGAUAGGGACUCUGUAAUAAUGCGUGGGGCACUUCGCGAUGGCAAACAAUGAGAACAGGUCGGAAGGCGACAGGUGACUGACCACCCAUUCAUGGGGAACAAGAUCUCGGGGAGAAGGAUGGGAUGAGACCCGGACGCAUGCGAGGAAAGCAGGCCUUGCGGCAAACACGUAAGUUAUUUACAUUAUAAUAGAGCAGAGGCAAGGUAAGCUGCGUAUUUUGUGUAGAGAAUACCAAUAUGUAAUUCGCAACAACUAAGCUAUGUCGAGGUGAAAAGGAAGGAAUGAGGUUGUAGGGGUUGGGGGAAGUGGUUAUAUCUGUCAUGAUAUUGCGUGUGUCGUACUUAAAAUGAGAAUUGGAACCAUCAGAAAGGAGCUAAUGGAAGAAUGUAACGCGUGUUUAUCAUCAUCGACAUGACAACAGGUAAAUGGAACUGCGUCAGAGAGCCAGGCUGAAGGCGAAGCAAAUACAACCCAGCGGGACUUUCCACUGCGUUGGGCAAUAGGCUUCUGUGUCACAUCACGUCGCUAUAACUCCUUAUAGUAUUCUCAACCAAACCACCGAGUUUGUUUAAGUUACUGUGAAAAUAAAGAUGAAAAAAAAAGGUAAACAAAAGCACGAUAAGGCCAGGGGAUGCCGUGCGAAGGGACAACUUGGAAUAGGAUGCUGCGCAAGAGAUGGAUAGUGCGUUAUCACUGAAGGAGCGGGCGAUGUUACGCAGUACUUCUUGGCACGGACACAUCGUACAUCACUUUCUUGUUUUUCCUUUCCUAUGACGCGCAGUUAUGCAUGUUCUUCACGCGGCGGACAUAACAACAGCCGUGAUAUCCAUAUGUAGGGACGGGUUACUUUACUUGUGUUGCUCUGUAACGAGUUCGUCUGUCAAAGCGUGCCUGAGUGACGUGACUUAUUUUUAAUUCAUAUUUUUAACAAGUCAGACAUAUGCAGCUUAAAUCUAGCCUAGGGAGUAUUUAGAAGGAAACGUCAAAUAGAGUGCGCACUUAGAAUGAUGUAAACAAGCCCUCCCCACCGCCGAUAGGGGGUGCUGUUUCACCACUCACUGUUUUGGUGCUGCGUGGUGUUUACAUAAAAUCUCUUCCUUAUUGUUGCACCGUCACGUUUACAUUCUCACCGAUCAGCUCGAAAUAAUCGAUCUCCUGACACAUCCCGAAAUUACGGGGAUGUAUAAUACAAGUCCAUACAUGAACAUGUUAAAAAAAGAAGAAGGUUUUUGUGUUAUGUUGUUUAGGCACGGAUAAUUGAGUGGGUUCGAGAGGCACUUGAAGGGGAUGUGUGUGUCCGUGUGGCGGGCCGUGUAAUCCACACCUGUCCUUAGUCAGUAGGGGGCACGGCAUGCCUGUUGCUACGUCGCUAAUGUUGACAGUGUGGGGCAGUUUUUCUCCAUUGACUUCCUAAUGACCCAAGUGGACUGGAGGGAAGGUGUGGCACCCCCUCCCUUCCUCCCUCUGCUUACUUCGGAGGUGGGACACACACACACACACACACACACACACACACACACACACACACACACACACACACACACACACACACACACACACACACACACACACACACACACACAGAUUAGUGAAGGGAGAGGCACCUGUCUUUUCCCGAACUGGGUUCGUUCGGUCACUGGGUGAAGCAGCAUGGAUCGUUAUGAUUGGCUAACCACACACCAGCAGGGUGGGUGUGUGUGUGUGGGGGGGGAGUGGUGUGCGCGGGAGAGAGAGCGAGAGAGAGAGAGAGAGAGAGAGAGAGAGAGAGAACAAGGAAGUAAACAGCAGAGUAAAGCGGCGCGGAGGAUGGGAAUCUUUUGACCUGUUACCUGAACAACGAGCUGGUUCUGAAAGGGGAAUCUGAUCGGGACAGUUUCAACAAACAAACAGCUAAAGGUCAGACUGUGAGAGAGAGAGAGAGAGAGAGAGAGAGAGAGAGAGAGAGAGAGAGAGAGUGAGAGAGGGCGAGAAAGAACGUCACUCGGCCAACCAAAAGCAGUCCUACAUGUGAAAAAACCAUCCCAUAAUACGCGCCGGUCGCGACCAAAACUUCCAACUGUCUGUUUCCAGUCAUUUCAGUGAAAAAAACAUUACGAAGAACAAGCUCAGUGCGGCUCUAAUAAGGAAGACGCGGUUGAGGUUCUUGUGUUGUUUACCCUCCCUCCUUCCUCAGAGCUCCAACUCCUGACCCAGUUUGCCGGCCACCGGGGGGUGACCUCAAUAGCUGUUUGGAUAUUCUUCCUGGGAGGGAAGAAGAAGAAGAGGCCUAGAAGCCUCAUAAACACAGGAGGAGAAGACAAUUACAGAACCGGAGAGGAAUGCGUCCUAAGUGCUCUCAUUGGUGGAGGAACAGAACAAACGCUUUGUUCGUCUAAUGGUAUUCUAAUCAUCCGAAAGUCUGAGUGCAGACCAGCUCAAAUCUGGGUUCACUUUCCCUUCGUUUCCUAUUUGUCUUUCGACCAAUCGUGCCGCUCGGGGCAAGUAUCUGAAAGCGUGUAAUGGCUAACAGCGAGCACGAACGCUGCCAGAUCUUGAAUUGUUUUCGCGUAGCCGGUGGGAAGACAAAGCGAAACCCGUGUCAGGACACAGACGCUCUUACGACAUAGUGUCUGUGAAGGCGGUUCGAUCGGUAGACUGGCCACUGCAGGGCUUAUUAUUAAAGUCCUCUGCUGAAAGCUCUGUCUUGACGUUUCUAUGACGUCUCAUAACGUCUCACCUCGGUGGAAUCCAGUAGAGGUGCAGUCUCCCCACUGAAGUUAUGCUGUAGCAUAGUAGUACUGCCCAAUCAAACGCUGCUUCCACAACACAGAGCCAUUAAGAUACACGGAGGCAGAUAGGUUGUUAAUGGAUGUUUGUUACCGCAGUAUUACCUGUGCUCUAUUCGAUUAUCCAUAAUCUAUAUUAUUUUAUGAUCUAUUAUGUAUAACCGUAAACAUCCCCAGGACAUUAUGUAAUACCAACACACACACACAUGUAUACACACACACACAACACGGUCACAGAGUCCAAUACACAGCACCACCCACAGGUUCAUAUUAUAUAGAAUGGAGGACAUUAUAUAAGAGCUACAGACACACAUAUGCAUGUAUAAGCACAUGCACACAAACACACACACACACACAGAUACACGUCAAUGUACCUACAUGUGUAGAAACAUGCACACACACACACGAACACAUGUGCUCGUUAAAUAUUCAACAUGUUUCCGUUUCUGCUGUCUGGAAGUUUCCUGUUGUUGUGAUUUUCCUCUUGAAGGACAGAUAUAGGUUUCAGGAUGAGAGGGAAAGGGGGUCAUAAGGCAGCAUUACGUGUACGGCUGUUGGAUGGCAAAAUGAGAGGAGUUUCGGGGGCUUUAUGUAUUUUGUCAAGUGUAUGUUCAUGUCUCCUUCAGUUAUUUGACACCAUGUGUUGGAUCAACAGGACAAGAUUUGAUGGCCUUUUGUUUCCUGAAAACUGGGCGAGUUUGAGAUGAGUUUCCGUCUACGACAGCAUCUGUAAGUUGAUAUUUAUUUAUUGACACUAUUUGCCUCUUCUUAUUCCACACAUAAGCUGACUCUUGUGACUCUUCAGACAUUUAUUUUAUUUAUUUUAAAUCAGAAGUGAGACGCAGAGUUGCAUCCAUCUCUUCGAAAUCGUGAUCAUAAAAGAAAAUGCAUCGUGUUUAUUUUUUGCCUAAAAUCUCCUGAAAACAUUCUCCCCUUCCACUCUCCCCCUCUCCCCCUACAGCCACCCACACGCUCAGGUCACACACUUUCGGUUUCGGUUUCAUCUUCUCAAACACAGCACAGCAGUAGAACUUGAAGGUUGGUCGCUCCGGGGUGGUCGUUCAGAUAUUCUGGCAGCUCGUCUAAAUUUAGUCAAAUCCUAGUCAUUAUUAUUAUUAUUAAUAUUAUUAUUAUUAUCAUUAUUAUCAUUAUUAGGGAUAUGUGUUAUUAAAGCAAAGGGAGGUCGAAUUUAAGGUUCUGCAGAAAUGCUCCCUUGCUAAUCGAAUUAAUAUAUUUUCUUAAGAAGCAGCGUCCCUUAGCAUCCGUUGUUAUGUGGAAGCUAACGAUACAUGCUGGUAAGCUAUCUUCGUCCAUGUAAGCUAUAGUGCCUUCCCCACAAUUGAUGUUGCUUUGGAGAAGUAAGAAGGGAUAUUAAUAGAAUAAAACGCAAUGGAAGGAAAGGGGGAAGACCAGGAAGUAUAGGAGAGCGAGAAGCGCUUCCAGGUCAGGGGUCGAACAUCAAUGAUUAGUGGUGCCAUGGCAUCAUGUACUAUUAUUAAUUUAGAAUAUGCUUUUAUCCAAAGUGAACUCAGAUGCAGGUCAUGAAUGAGUAAGUAGGGGGUAAGGUACAUUUGCUCUAGGGGAUGCCAAUAUAAAUAGGCUUCUGACAUUGGGGAUCGAACCCAAUACCUUUUGGCCGGCGGUCACUAGACUAUCCGGUCCACAUCAUGUUCUGUACCAGACUUGAAUCGGCAUGACACCGAGCGACUGUCAGUCUGUCAGUUGUCAGUUCAUUUCCUAUAAAACACAACCAUGCACACCUUUUUUCGGCGGUUUUUCGCUGGUGCAAGUCUCAGCCAGUGUACAUGACAUUCCGACAAUAGGUAAGAUCUGGGAAAACUAUUCGGGGCGUUCCCUAGUGCUCCACUGCUGUAGCCAAUCACAACACUGAAGGAGCCAAUCACAACCCUCUCCCUAGAUUCAACCCAUGUUUAGCCCCGCCCUGAUAUCCGGUUCCACUUGGAAAAUGCAUCGUAAAAGGGGACAACGGAUGUGAUUUCACUCCUCCAGUCACUUCCAUGUCAGUGUGGUCCACACUGCUUGUGUGGACCUGAAAGUGCGCCACAUCUAUUGGCAUAAGAACCCCUGAUUUACCUUUUACUAAUAAGUCCUUUUUUCAGAGACUGAAAUCAACACGACAAAGUCAUUAUAGUGAAUUCCUAUACAUAUAGUGAAUUCCUAUACAGGUUGGACAACUGGCCCGAGGCAGAUAGGGAGAGACGUCAGAGAUCGAACACAGAACCCACACAGCUAUCACGUGCUCCAUCAUGACAGGACAACAGCAAGGCCUACCAACCAAUCAGGAAGCAACCUCUGACGAGCCUUCGGUCACAUGACCUAGAUCCGCAUCCAUGACCUUGGCGUCCACGUCGGCCAUGGAUGAACUGCCACGGCCCACUGCUGCGUGACACGUUGCCGAUUGAUUCAGAGAGGUAUUCAUUACCUUCAGCAGCGGUUGGGAGGGGUCGGCCCAAGCGUUGGUUUGACCCACUCAACCGCUGACAAAUCAGGACCCCUAAUCUAACCAUCUAAGAGGAUUAACUACGUUGGCUUUACACAUGCGCUGACACGCUCAUACUGUCACACUCUGCUCUUUUAAUCACACACACACACACACACACGAACAUGCUCAUACACACUGGCACACAUGCGCCCACACGCUCAUAUUUUCACAGACACAAACAAGCACUCACAGAGACACUGAAAACACACUGGUACACAUUCAGAAAGAUGCUCACAUCAUUGUUAAACGCAUCGUUUUAAUCUUGCAUAAUGUAAUGGAUUUAAUGACAUGGAUAUUGAACACAUAUCUCACCUGUAUCAACAACUAGGAACUUUGACCUACCGAACCUUCAGCAUUUUGAAUUCACUUAAAUACAGUAGAGAGAAAUGCAGAUAGAGAGGCAGAUGGAGAGUGGCAGAGAGAGUAGCAAAGAGAGAGAGAUACAUGAAGAGAGGCAGAGAGAGAGAGGCAGAUAGAGGGAGGCAGAGAGAGAUACAUGAAGAGAGAGAGAGAGAGAGAGAGAGAGAGAGAGAAGCAGAGGGAGGCAGAGAGAGUAGCAGAGACAGAGAGAAAAGCAGAGAGAGAGAGAGGCAAAUAGAGAGGCAGAUAGAGGGAGAGAGAGAGGCAGAAAGAGAGAGGCAGAUAGAGAGAGAUGCAGAGAGAGAAGCAGAGAGAGAGAGAAAGAGAGAGCACGCAGUAGCAAGAGACAGUUCAUAAAUAGCUAUAUUUGACAGGAGGGAGGGAUGAGCCUCAUGACAGAUGAGAGACUGCCUGUUGUCUGCUCAGUAACUCAGGUCCAUGCCGCAGUCACAGCGACCUCAAGAAAAAACUCCCAGAGGAUAUUUUCAGCUCUUAAACAAACAAACAAAGACUGGCCUAUUUGAUUCAAACACUCCAACAGUAUCCAAAAAUAGAACUUCACCAAUACCACAGAGAUGCUCAGUCACAGGUAAUUGCUUCUCUUAAAGAGAAGCAAUGUAGUUUUUUCAAUUUAGUGGCUGCGUCACUUCUUCACAAUAACAAGAGACCGGCGUCAGAUUGGAGCUGUAGACGCGUGCGGUUUGGUACCUUUUCCCUUUUAAAUGUUAACAGCUAUGCUCCCCGCAAUGGUCGCCAUGGUGAAGUCCGAGGGGCAGCUGAAACUGCGCAAUCAUUUUUUUCCUUUACUUGAAGUAAAUCCAAAUACAAAGAGGGCUUCAGGACAAGUGGUCUAAACCUGGCAAGAACAACACAAUGUGCUCUGGAUCUAAAUAUAGUCAUCUUUUGAAGUUGUAAUUCAUUUGGUACUAUUUAAAGUGUUAUGCUUUUUGCUGUUUGAGGCCCUCCUAGACCUUGCCAUUGAACCUCAAAUUGUAUUUUAUAAAACUAUUCAAAAAAUAAAAAUAAGAAAGGAACAUUAACAAAAAAAUGCUACUAUCUGUGUUAAUAUCCCUGUCUUAUUCUUUCUGCUAUGUUUUUCAUGUCCCAAUAAUAACCAGGAAGCUUUCCUUUGGGAGUACGGGAAUGGACACCUCCUUGUUGACACUGACUCUGUGUUUGUUUGGUGUUCAUCAGGGGGAAGACUACUCCAGGACGGACCGGUCUCCCCAGAACAGAUCCAGAACACGUCCUGCCCAGGGAACCGGUUUCAGGUGGUGUUUUAGAGUACCAGAUCCAAUCUAGCACCAUUUGAAAUCGGUGUUCCUGAGCUGGAAACCACGUCGCUAGUGGAGGAGUUCGCUGGCUGAAUCAUUAGUAGGCCUACCUGAGUUAAAUUGACUAGGAAAGCAUAUUCCUAAAUGUUGUUUGUUAUUUACUGUUGCUGUGUUUACAUGAUUAGCAUUCUAUUUAUGAUAGCUUUAGUAGCCUAAAAUAGUUUGUAAACUUGUACUGGUAAUAUUAGUAGAAGGUAGUGAAGGUCAAGUACUAUAAAGUAGCCUACUGCUGUUGUUAUCGUUUUGAUGCCAAAACAAUGAGACAACCUGAAAUGAAUGUCGGCUAUUUUGUAGCAUCACAAGCUAUAAUUAGCCCUCUUACCAAGGCUGACCGUUUUCUUCUGGUGUUUAGAGUUCAUUUAGUGUCUAGCACCAUUUGAAAUCGGUUACAAUGUAGAGGGACGAUCAUCUCUGGUGCCGUUUUAUUGUCCAUCUCCGCCGAACGAAGCGCCCCGUGUGAAACUUACAUCGACCACACGGUGGCAGACUUGUUCCGUCGGGAUUUUUCUAGAAGCUCCGAAGACAACGUCGACACGCAGAUGCCGCGGGUGAGGGAUGGGUAAACCAUAGAGAAAGUUGAUCUCUGGUCUUUUUUUUUUUCAAUUAAACUUUUAAAUAAAAUAUUUUAGUAUUUUAUAUUAUUAAAAGACCAACGCUUGAUUCUAAAAUACAUCCUUGACCAUGCAUCUAUAUUGAGAAAGAGUAGGCCUAGGCCGAUCUGAAAGCUAUUAAUUACAGGUUUGCUGGCAGUCAUGUGACAGCAAAGCAGUCCAAUGUAAUAGACAAAAAUAGGCCUGUAUUAAAGGACCAAUGUGCGGGCUAAAAACUAAUCACAUAUAUGUGGGGACCCUCUGGCCUAGUUGGCCUCCAGUCUUCGAAGGAAUCACACACAUCAACGAUGUAUUGCAGCUAAAAAUAUAUCAACCAUUGCAUGAAUCAAAUAAAGACCAUUGGAUGAUACCAUAUUCACCGUAAUCCUAUGCUGGCUCUCGUAUUUUUUGAUUUACUUCUGAGUGUUGAAACAGUUGUUCCCUCAUCGCUUGUCCUGGCAACGGGAGUUGAAAGGUAAGAAUAUCGUAUUCAAAUCAGCGUUGCCAUGCCAACAGAAGCAUACCAACAACAACACGCAGCCAAAUGCAUGCUGCUUACAUUCUGAGGAAUCGGAGUGACUCAGUUUAAAGGGAGUGUCCGCAAUGUGAAGAAACCAUGAAGAAGCCAUCCUUUUCUUUCCACUGUGACUAUAGCUUUGGCAAUAGCCGUCAUCGUGCGGUCAGUGCUGUGGCGUGGUCUGUUGUGGUGUGGCUAGACAGGGUGACGGAUGCUGUAGGGCACCCAGCCAAACCUUCCCUCGGCAGAUGUCAACAACAUUACGCGCCCGGCUGAAGCUAGAUAGGCCUACUUAGAGAGAGGUGUAACUGUAAGGAGAAGUCAGAAAGUCAUCGGCUUGUCAUGUGAUUGUAGACACAGCUGGUACGGCUUGAUUAUAGAGUUGCUUCGGAAAUAUAAACAAUCUAAUCACCUAGCUGGGAGAGGCCCACUCAACUUAUCUAACCAAUUUAAUCUUGUUUUCAUUUCAGUUCUAGCAAAUAAAUCAAAAUAUCUUGAAUCCAACCUGCAAGGAAAAAACUAGACGCAUAAAUUUGCCUUCCGAAAUACCUUUGUGGCCCACUAGCACACAAAGCUGUGGAUAGAACCUCCGUGUGUUAUGAUUACACAAAGCCAGUGUGGUUGGAACCUUAGGCCCCAAAACAAAGAUACUUCUUGAUAUGAAUAGUAAACAUGGCCUAUAAAAUAAAUAUACCGAUUGUUAUACAACCAUAUCACAUAUUCAUUCUUGUACACAUAUCUAUUGUUUGCCAUUAGAAAUUGGUUCUAAGAUAACCAGAAACAUGAGAGGUUUCCACGCUCCAAGCUGAGUAUGGUAAUGAGUGCCAAAAUGCUUAAGCCUACUUUGAAGUCUGAAAUUGAACAAACGAGAAGUCCCAUGACAAUCUGACAAAUCAUCUUUAACAUAUCAGAUUCAUUGUCUACAUUGUUGCAAAUACUUUUUUCCCAUAUCACUCAUAAUAUUUUAGCAGUGGGAAACUGUUGAAAGACAUCCUUUCAAAUUCGGCCUAUAUUCAAGUGGGGGCUAAGAUCAGUGAGAUCAGGGGUCCAUUCAUAAAACUGAAAAACAUGGGAAACCCCCCCUUCAUCCUGUUUAAGACUUAAGCCCCAGCAGUUCCUCUCUGUGACCCCCGUUAGACAGAGGGUUAUCAGUCCUAAAACUAUAGAUAGAAGUAUGGGCUAGUAAAGUUAAAACAUAGUGGCCAUAAAAUACCUUGGUAUGGAGUGGUUUAUUAUCCCUGGACAUAAAGUGAAACAGUUGAAUGAAAUUAAACAUUCUCUCAUGUCACGCCAAGCAGACUGACGUCCCAUGUUCAUUUGACCUCUACUUCAGUAACUACCAUCGGACGGGGGGAGAACAAGACAUCCUCUCAGCCAUCUCAUGAUCACAGUACAACGGAUUCAAAGGUUUGGCACGCUGGAGUUGGGUGUCUAGCACAGUGUUCUUUAUAUCCACAUAAUUCCCCCCUCGACCCCGUGGCAGCACACAGGCUGUGUUCCUUUGCAUGGGAGCCGCGGCUGUGAAUGUUCCCUUUGUCUGGACCCACAGUUCCUGUCUGUCCAUCUAUCUAGAUAGACUCUUAGACUCUGUCCAUCUAUCUCUGCAAGAAUAUUAUUAUCGUCAAUAUCAUUUCUGCAGGGCAACAUUUCUCCUUUGUAGGUGCUCUUAAGAAAAGGCUAGUGACACCAUGUGGGAUUAAUUGUAAUAAUUUACAUUUCUUCUUACCCCUCAACAUUCUAUUCU